rnacentral:lncRNA from 1 species
AUGUCGAUCUUGAGGAAGGAAGUGACGUCCCAAACAAGGCUAAAAUAAAAUUGGCGCGGAAACAAGGCCUUCGUGUUGAUGGUGCCAGCCCUGCGUUGACUUUUGUGCAGAGUACAGGAGGAGCUGUGGAAAUGGCCGAGCAGAGUGCCGUGACAGAAAACGCACAAAACGUGCAGUCCAUCCAGUCGGUGCCACUGGAAAAGGAACGGGAUUUUUUAGAUUUUGUGCUCCCUUCUUUUGGGCACUACGACGAGGUGCUGAGGAGAAAAAUACAAAUAAAUGGCGCUGUGCGCCGUGCCAUAGUUGACAAGCUCUUUGGCGCAU